CGGGCGUCUUAACAUGCAAGUCGAACGAUUAAAGCACCUUCGGGUGUGUAUAAAGUGGCGAACGGCUGAGUAACACGUGGGCAACCUGCCCCUCUCAUUGGGAUAGCCACGGGAAACCGUGGAUAAUACCGAAUACUUCGGGACUUCCGCAUGGAAGACUCGAGAAAGCUCCGGCGGAGAGGGAUGGGCCCGCGGCCUGUUAGCUUGUUGGUGGGGUAACGGCCUACCAAGGCAAUGAUGGGUAGCUGGGUUGAGAGACCGACCAGCCAGAUUGGGACUGAGACACGGCCCAGACUCCUACGGGAGGCAGCAGUGGGGAAUCUUGCACAAUGGGCGAAAGCCUGAUGCAGCGACGCCGCGUGCGGGAUGAAGGCCUUCGGGUUGUAAACCGCUUUCAGCAGGGACGAGGCGAAAGUGACGGUACCUGCAGAAGAAGCCCGGCUAAUAC
rnacentral:rRNA from 2 species